GCUGCACACCGUUAGAGCUCAGAGCUGAGGUCAGUUUCUGGCCUAUGAACUCCUGAGUGUAGGACGUGUGCUACAUUAACCUUGGCAGGACUUUUCGCUAACACCACAAGGGCUUUUGUAGCCCAGUGAGUGGGGUUUGAUGGUGUUUCUUGCCACAGCU
rnacentral:snoRNA from 1 species